UACGUAGGGGGCUAGCGUUGUCCGGAAUCAUUGGGCGUAAAGCGCGUGUAGGCGGCUCAGUAAGUCCGCUCUGAAAGUCCGGGGCUCAACCCCGGGAGGCGGGUGGAUACUGCUGAGCUCGAGUCCGGAAGAGGAGUGUGGAAUUCCUGGUGUAGCGGUGAAAUGCGUAGAUAUCUGGAGGAACACCGGUGGCGAAGGCGGCAUCCUGGACCAAUUCUGACGCUGAGGAGCGAAAGCCAGGGGAGCAAACGGG
rnacentral:rRNA from 1 species